rnacentral:rRNA from 1 species
UGCAAGUCGAACGGUAACAGGAAGCAGCUUGCUGCUUCGCUGACGAGUGGCGGACGGGUGAGUAAUGUCUGGGAAACUGCCUGAUGGAGGGGGAUAACUACUGGAAACGGUAGCUAAUACCGCAUAAUGUCGCAAGACCAAAGAGGGGGACCUUCGGGCCUCUUGCCAUCGGAUGUGCCCAGAUGGGAUUAGCUUGUUGGUGGGGUAACGGCUCACCAAGGCGACGAUCCCUAGCUGGUCUGAGAGGAUGACCAGCCACACUGGAACUGAGACACGGUCCAGACUCCUACGGGAGGCAGCAGUGGGGAAUAUUGCACAAUGGGCGCAAGCCUGAUGCAGCCAUGC